rnacentral:tRNA from 1 species
GCCGGUAUGGCGGAAUAGGUAGACGCGUGGGAUUCAAAAUCCCAUUCUCGCAAGAGAGUAUCAGUUCGAUUCUGAUUACCGGUA